rnacentral:rRNA from 1 species
UACGAAGGGGGCUAGCGUUGUUCGGAAUUACUGGGCGUAAAGCGCGCGCAGGCGGUCCUUUAAGUCAGGGGUGAAAGCCCAGAGCUCAACUCUGGAACUGCCUUUGAAACUAGAGGACUUGGGUACGGGAGAGGUGAGUGGAAUUCCGAGUGUAGAGGUGAAAUUCGUAGAUAUUCGGAAGAACACCAGUGGCGGAAGGCGGCUCACUGGCCCGUUACCGACGCUCAGGCGCGACAGCGUGGGGAGCAAACAGG